rnacentral:lncRNA from 1 species
CUCAGUUGUAUGUUUUGAAUAUCCCUCUCUUCACUUGUAAGAAGUAGAACUUUUUAGGCAUUCACUGACAAGCAAAUGCUCAAAAGUAAGACUCUCACCUCCUCUGCCUAUGUUCAUAAGCUUAUAUCUCAACAAUAUUUAAUGAGUCCCCUUGGACACUCUGACACUGAAGUCUUCACAGCUGGGAGGGCAAAACCCAGGUUCUCCUUGAAUCCGGUCAUGACGAGGCUUGUGGUUAAUUCCAUCACUGCGAAUCCCUGGAGACUGAAUCGAAAGACUGGCCUGUCGGUGGAUCCUAUUAGUCAUCGUUCUGCCUGCCACUUACCAUGUAAACUUUCUAACCCAAGGAACAAGAAUUUGGGCUUUGACCUGAACGAUACUUCUCUGGAGCUUCCCCAGUGACCCUGAAAUUCCCAAAUGUUGUCCCAUGUUCACUGAGGACUCCAGGAAACUAGAGCGGGUCCUGCGAUGUGCAUUCCUCUUUCUACAAGCUCUAUAUAUGGCAGUCACUUGGAGAAGACUCCCUGCGAAGCUCAUAGUGCCUUAAUCAAGAAGUAAGCUCAGGUUUACUCUAUUCUCAGAUGCCCAAAUAGAAAAAAAAAUAAUAAACCCAAAAUAUGUCAAUUCUCUUCCCACUCUUUCAAUUCCAAACCUUUUUUGUUCCUAGUUCAUUUUAGGAAGUAUUUUCCAGUCUGAGAGAGCGAGGAGGGAAUAGAAACUCCUCUAGAAGGAGAUAAAAUGGUCCGCUGGAACUCUCUUCUUGGACUUAGGCCUGUAGCUUUUAAGCUUGGAAGAUUGAGAACUUGUCUUCCUUUUCAAGUGUACAUCUGAUAACUUCCCCAAAUCUCCCACCCAACUGAGGUAUAGUCACGCAAAGAAGAAAAGAAGAUGCAUAUUGUUGUCUCAAGUUUAUUACCCCAACACAGAUCCACACUGAGGUGAAUGUUUCUUAAAGCACUCAUAUUAGUUAUUAGUCUUACUUGAACCAUAUCAGGUUGUUCUAAUUCCUAAGCAAUUU